CCUACGGGGGGCAGCAGUGAGGAAUAUUGGUCAAUGGCCGUAAGUCUGAACCAGCCAAGUAGCGUGAGGGAUGACUGCCCUAUGGGUUGUAAACCGCUUUUAUGCGGGGAUAAAGUGGUCCACGUGUGGAUGUUUGCAGGUACCGCAUGAAUAAGGACCGGCUAAUUCCGUGCCAGCAGCCGCGGUAAUACGGAAGGUCCGGGCGUUAUCCGGAUUUAUUGGGUUUAAAGGGAGCGUAGGCCGGUCUUUAAGCGUGCCGUGAAAUUUUGUGGCUCAACCGUGGAAUUGCGGUGCAAACUGGAGACCUUGAGUGCGCGGAGGGCAGGCGGAAUUCGUGGUGUAGCGGUGAAAUGCUUAGAUAUCACGAAGAACCCCGAUUGCGAAGGCA
rnacentral:rRNA from 1 species